CCUACGGGGGGCUGCAGUGGGGAAUAUUGGACAAUGGGGGGAACCCUGAUCCAGCCAUGCCGCGUGUGUGAAGAAGGCCCUCGGGUUGUAAAGCACUUUCAGUGAGGAAGAACGCCUGGUGGUUAAUACCCAUCAGGAAAGACAUCACUCACAGAAGAAGCACCGGCUAACUCCGUGCCAGCAGCCGCGGUAAUACGGAGGGUGCGAGCGUUAAUCGGAAUUACUGGGCGUAAAGCGCGCGUAGGUGGCUUGAUAAGCCGGUUGUGAAAGCCCCGGGCUCAACCUGGGAACGGCAUCCGGAACUGGCAAGCUAGAGUGCAGGAGAGGAAGGUAGAAUUCCCGGUGUAGCGGUGAAAUGCGUAGAGAUCGGGAGGAAUACCAGUGGCGAAGGCGGCCUUCUGGACUGACACUGACACUGAGGUGCGAAAGCGUGGGUAGCAAACAGGAUUAGAUACCCCAGUAGUC
rnacentral:rRNA from 1 species